UACAGAGGGUGCGAGCGUUGUCCGGAAUCACUGGGCGUAAAGGGCGCGUAGGUGGCGCUGCAAGUCGGUGGUGAAAGCUCGUCGCUUAACGGCGAGUCGGCCAUCGAAACUGCAGGGCUCGAGCACUGUAGGGGCUAAUGGAAUUCCGGGCGUAGCGGUGGAAUGCGUAGAGAUCCGGAAGAACACCAGUGGCGAAGGCGGUUAGCUGGGCAGUUGCUGACACUGAUGCGCGACAGCGUGGGGAGCAAACAGG
rnacentral:rRNA from 1 species